GGAUUUUACAUACCCCAAUAAAUCUGGAAUAUUCGAUACAAUCCCGAUUUUCACUCCUCCACACAUUCACCCCUCCACUGUCUCUUUCUCUCUCUCUAAUCUAUCAUUAUCUUUCUUCUUCGUUAGGAGCCAUCAGCGGCGGCCUCUGCGGGCCGUAAAUUGGCUGGUGGAACUGCUAGGCGCAGUAGCCAUCUCCGAGAACCACACCCAAAUGUAGGCGACUUUCUGGUUUUUCCUCUUGAGGCGGUGGAUUUGGAGCCGUUAGUUCCGCAGCGGUUCUGGCAGAAGCCGUCGACGUCGGACGCCUUUAGCACGACGUUGAUUGCGUUUGUCUGCUGACCCUUGGAGGCCAGAUGGAGGCCGGUGCAUGCUCGCACACCUCGCAGAUUCAGAUGCGGCCAUGGCGCAAGCUCCCAAAUCCAUUACAAUUUCUGAAUCGGUAUCCAUUACAAUUUGAUUCGAGGCUGACCCGCGUAGCGACGGAGCCGUAGAAGGUGAAGGGCGUUUUCCACCCUUACGAAUAGCGAUGAUGAUCUUGACAGAAGCAGAAAUCUUGAAGCAGCUGCAAUGGCCGAUGGAGUCGACGAAGGAUAGUUCUACCUACGCUACUUGAGUUGAGGAGAGUUAUGUAGCAUUUUAGUGUGCUGCAUUAGGUUGUAAAAUUACUGUAAGAUUAUUCAAAUUGUAACCCAAUUUGAUUUUACUAUGUUUGUUCAUUGUUAUGUUUGUCGUAUUCAUUUUUUUUCACAUAAUUGUUCUUAUUAAUGUUCUGAAUAUCAUAUUCACAUUCUUGAGUAAUUUUGAAUAUGUUUGUGAAA